rnacentral:lncRNA from 1 species
CGGAAGCUAAUGAUAUUGCAACUGUAGAGAUACUCAUAGAAAUAUUGCAAUCAACUUUGACCGUGGAAAUGCAUAGACAUGGGAAUGGGUUCCAUAUGGAAGGUGCAAUAUUGACUUCGGCUAGAAGUGAGUUAUAUUGAGCUUAGUGAUGCAUGGUUACAUAUAGAUAGAAGAACUUGAUAGUUUGUUGUCUCCACAUUUUUUUAAGGGAACACCUAUUUUUUUAUUUUUUUAAGGUAUUAUAUUUUAGUUUAAAGAACACCUCUGAAUUUUCAUUGGAAAUGAAAUGAGCUAUUAUAACUACCACGAAACUUGAUUAUUUUUGUGUACUUUGAGAUCUACAUCUUGAAGAAAAAACCAUGAAAUAUUUGGUAUACAAGGAGUUACAACACUACCAUGUACCUUCAUUCUUUUAGUACUCAACGUAUUUUGCUUAAGAUCUUCAAUUUUUCUCCAAACCAAAAAGCAACUCCGAAUACCGGUUGAUGUAAUACUGCUCUAAUCAGGCUUGUCUAUCAUUACCCAUAAAAUGGAUGGACUUUUGGGCUGAAGUUUGUUGGAAUUUGAGAUGGGGAUUGGAAACAAUCUUGGUGAGUUCUUAAUUCUCAGGUUGGAGAAAAUGGUCGCUGCCUUGCUGGUGUUCGGAGUUUUGAGCUGACUACGAGCAUUCUUGACGCGUUUCAUUUUGUCAUUGCAAACUACUGCAUAAGACUGUUCCAUCAGCUUUUGAUGUAUGUAGGGUUGUUGUACUUCUCAAUUUUCUUAAAGAAUUUUGCAUUGUAGGGAACAACUACUACUGAAUUUUGGGGUGGCAGAAGUAAGGGCGAGUUGAAUUGUGCAACCGCGGGGAAUGCAUGCACAUGGAAGGG